UACGGAGGGGGCUAGCGUUGUUCGGAAUUACUGGGCGUAAAGCGCACGUAGGCGGCUUUGUAAGUUAGAGGUGAAAGCCUGGAGCUCAACUCCAGAACUGCCUUCGAUACUGGGAGACUUGAGUCCGGGAGAGGUGAGUGGAACUGCGAGUGUAGAGGUGAAAUUCGUAGAUAUUGGGAAGAACACCGGUGGCGAAGGCGGCAACCUGGUCCUUGACUGGACGCUGAAGGCGCGAAAGCGUGGGGAGCAAACAGG
rnacentral:rRNA from 1 species